rnacentral:tRNA from 1 species
UAAUGAAGUGCCUGAAAAAAAGGGCUAUUUUGAUAGAAUAGAUUAUGCACCAAAAUGCCUUCAUUAU